GAUGAACGAUGGCGGCGUGCCUAAUACAUGCAAGUCGAGCGAACGGACGAGAAGCUUGCUUCUCUGAUGUUAGCGGCGGACGGGUGAGUAACACGUGGAUAACCUACCUAUAAGACUGGGAUAACUUCGGGAAACCGGAGCUAAUACCGGAUGAUAUUUUGAACCGCAUGGUUCAAAAGUGAAAGACGGUCUUGCUGUCACUUAUAGAUGGAUCCGCGCUGCAUUAGCUAGUUGGUAAGGUAACGGCUUACCAAGGCAACGAUGCAUAGCCGACCUGAGAGGGUGAUCGGCCACACUGGAACUGAGACACGGUCCAGACUCCUACGGGAGGCAGCAGUAGGGAAUCUUCCGCAAUGGGCGAAAGCCUGACGGAGCAACGCCGCGUGAGUGAUGAAGGUCUUCGGAUCGUAAAACUCUGUUAUUAGGGAAGAACAUAUGUGUAAGUAACUGUGCACAUCUUGACGGUACCUAAUCAGAAAGCCACGGCUAACUACGUG
rnacentral:rRNA from 1 species